AAGUUAGGGCAAAUCUUGGUCGCCUUGGGCCUCAAAUUUUAGAGGGCUUCAAAUUUUGAGGCCCAUAGGGGAUGGAAAAACUAAAAAAAAAAAACAAAAAAACAAAAAAAUUAAGUUAGGGGCAAGAUUUUCAGACGACACAAUCUGCUUCGACACUCCGCAGCCUCCGCUAUCGCCUCAGGCGCAGGUAACAAGGAUCUUUGCAAGACCAGUUCUGUAUCUUUUGGAGUUUGGAUUGGGUUUUGAUCUCUGUUCAAGGGAUACGGAGAUGUCGUCUUAGUCUUCAGUUGCAAGGAUGAGCUUAUUGCAAUUUAUGUUUGUUAGAUUUCUCGGACGCAUGUUGACUUCAACUUUGAAGUCCUAGAUGGCUGGGCCCUUGAUGAUCAAUCGCGUGCUCUAUUUAUAGAGGUGCUAGUCACAAGAGAGUCAUUGCGCCUAUUAAUCAGGCCGCGUGUCAUACCAAUAUGCUUUUUGGUGUCGGAAAGCGGAUGUCCCGGUCCCGGUCCCGUGGGGUUUUUUGUGUUGCGGGCGCUACCCGUUUCCAUCUUCAUUCCACUCCAACGAGCAUCUCAUUCAAUCCUUCCAUGCCACAUUUUUGCCCUUUUUCCUGUGCUGGACUAUGAAACCUUCAUUCCCCGGACCUAAUACAAUUGGUAGGAACUCUAUUAACACAAACAAAAUAGAUAUCACUUCAACAAAAUAGAUACAGUUGGUAGGAAUUGUGUUUUGACUUGUAGUAAAAAAACUUUCAUGAUUUUUUUGUCUUUUUGGUAGGAAUUGUGUUUUGACUUGUAGUCAAAAGCUUUCAUGGUUUCUUUCUGUUGUUUUUUUGUGACUUUAAUUUGUAGUGGAAAUGGUUUUUUUAGACAUGUAUUAUGAGGGUAUCCCUCAUUUUCUACC